AGUACAGUGAUGGAAAGGUGAAAAGAACCCCGGGAGGGGAGUGAAAUAGAUCCUGAAAUUGUGUGCCUACAAGGAGUCGGAGCCGGCUUGUCCGGUGACGGCGUGCUUUUUGUAGAACGAUCCAGCGAGUUAAUUUCGUGCGCAAGGUUAAGCCAAUUGGCGGAGCCACAGUGAAAGCGAGCCUGAAUAGGGCGAAUGAGUGCACGGGAUUAGACCCGAAACCGGGUGACCUAACCAUGAGCAGGCUGAAGCGACGGUAACACGUCGUGGAGGGCCGAACCAGGGUACGCUGCAAAGUGCUUGGAUGACUUGUGGUUAGCGGUGAAAUGCCAAUCGAACUCGGAGAUAGCUGGUUCUCCUCGAAACAGUUUUAGGACUGGCGUCAUGUAGUAGCAGUCGGGGGUAGAGCUCUGUAAAGGACUGGGGCUGGCAACGGUACCCACCCUUAACAAACUACGAAUACCGACUGUGGAAUCAUGGCAGUUAGAACGGCGGAGCUAAGUUCGUCGCUCAAAAGGGAAACAGCCCAGACCAUCGUCUAAGGUCCCUAAAUUUACGUUAAGUGGGAAACAAGGUGAGAUUUCUUAAACAGCUAGGAUGUUGGCUUAGAAGCAGCCAUUCAUUUAAAGAGUGCGUAACAGCUCACUAGUCAAGAGAUCUUGCGUGGAAAAUGUAACGGGGCUAAACGUAAUACCGAAGACAUGGAUUGUAUGUUUUGCAUACAGUGGUAGAGGAGCGUUCCUAUCAGCAGUGAAGCAGUAUUGUAAAGUAUUGUGGAGCGGUAGGAAGUGAGAAUGCUGGAAUGAGUAACCAUAAGAGAGGUGAGAAUCCUCUCGGCCGUAAGAGCAAGGUUUCCUGAGCUAUGGUAAUCAUCUCAGGGUUAGUCGGGCCUAAGCCGAGGCGCAGAGCGUAGGCGAUGGACAUCAGGUUAAUAUUCCUGAACCGGUUAAGUUUUGUACACUGUUCACGGGGAAGUAAUCGAAGCGGAUUCAUGGUUUAUCCGUCCAACCGAGCGGGAACGCAAAGGGAGUGAAAGUGAUUCUUCGGAGUCGCGAUUUUGGUGAAAGCCCUGGCUAGAAAAGCAGGUGUACGCGUGGACUUAGCCGCCCGUACCGCAAACCAACACAGGUGCUCGAGUCGAGUAGACUCAGGCUUACGAGCGAACCUUCGCUAAGGAACUCGGCAAUACAGCGACCGUAACUUCGGGAUAAGGUCUGCCCCCACUUCGGUGGAUAUCAGCCGCGUUCACUCAGUGAAUAAUAGGUUAAAGAGUACAUUUUUAAUCACAAAACGAAUUUUCUGAGACACGAGCAAACAAAUUGCUCUUUGAACGCGAACCUCUUGUAUCUAACGAUGUGGGGGCCGCAGCAAAAGAGCCCACGGAACUGUUUAUCAAAAACACAGCUCUCUGCCAACACGAAAGUGGAUGUAUAGGGGGUGACUCCUGCCCGGUGCUGGAAGGUUAAGGGGAGUGCUUCACGGUACGAACUGAAGCCCCAGUGAACGGCGGCGGUAACUAUAACCGUCCUAAGGUAGCGAAAUUCCUUGUCAGGUAAGUUCUGACCCGCACGAAUGGAGUAAUCAUGUGGGCACUGUCUCAGCGAAGGACUCGGUGAAAGUGCAUUGGCGGUAAAGAUGCCGUCUGUCCAUACCAGGACGAGAAGACCCCAUGGAGCUUUACUACAGCUUUACAUUGAUCCAGGUUUCAGUAUGUGUAGCAUAGUUGGGAGACUUUGAAACAGAUACGCUAGUAUUUGCGGAGUCGCAAUGUGAAAUACCAACCUUGCUGUGAUCUUGAUCUCACUUGUGCCGUUAUCCGGUACAAGGACCGUGUAUGGUGGGUAGUUUAACUGGGGCGGUUGCCUCCUAAAGAGUAGCGGAGGCGUUCAAAGGUUGGCUAACUUCGGAUGGAAAUCGAAGUGAUAGUGUAUGCGCAUAAGCCAGCUUGACUGUGAGGAGUACAUUCCAAUCAGAGACGAAAGUCGGAGCAAGUGACCCGCUGUACGAACAUUUGUUCAUUGAAUGUGGGAUCGACAGCGCACACGGAUAAAAGUUACCCUGGGGAUAACAGGCUUAUAGCGCCCAAUAGUUCACAUAGACGGCGCUGUUUGGCACCUCGAUGUCGGCUCAUCACAUCCUGGAGGGGGAGCACCUUCCAAGGGUUCGGCUGUUCGCCGAUUAAAGUGGUACGCGAGCUGGGUUCAGAACGUCGUGAGACAGUUCGGUUUAUAUCCGGUAUGGACG
rnacentral:rRNA from 1 species